CAGAUUAUUGGUCACAUUCUUUGACUAGUAAAUCUUUUAUGCAACGCAUAACUUAGAUAACCUUAGGAUAGCAUUGGUACUGCACAAGGACUGAUCAUGUUGACUAACUUAACUGGGCAUUAUUAUUACAUUACCAUUCUUGUGUGUAUGGGAUUAAUGCAUUGAGCUACAAUCACAUGCAAAACGUUAACUUUGGUGUCCUCACCGACCAUAGUGAAACUGUUAGAAGCUUGCAUCAAGAGUAGCCUAUAUCACAAGGAUUAGCAAAGUACGGUUGAACAGAUCGGCUCCAUGGAUUAAGCAUGCCUGGUCGGAAUUAUUCCGGCGGUGGCAGUUUUUACCGAAAUAAAAUGACCCGCAACAUAGGUCCGUCCAAUGAGAAUGUCGCCGACGGCUCCCCGCAGAGGAGGGACGAGAAGUACGUACGGGAGGCACACAAGAAGGAGCGACACCUGGAGUCGUACCUGGCAGACGAUGAGAAUUUUCCAUCUUUCAAAAACAAGUUGAGGAAGAUGGGUCUUCAGCUCAGGGAUAUUCCCGCAGACGGGUAAGUGUUUUUUUGGGGGUUUUCUUUGGUGAACGAGCAAAGUUCAUGGAAUUCUGGGUAAUCCUUGAGUUUUUAUCAUUAGAUCACAAGUACCUCAACAAUGAAAAAGAACAAGUCCUCUAUUUAUGACUUCGUGUUAAGGAUUGGAAAUCUGUCUUAGUUUAUAAAGUGAUGUGAUAUGGGAUGGUUUACCUGUAAAUUAAAGCCUGGGUGGUCAUCCAUUCUAUAGACGUCAUCCUGUGAUUGUCUUCAGCACUGUUCCCCAAUAUGAAUUUUCAUUUUUUUUUAAACAUGGCAAACAUUGACACUGAAUUAUUUCUAUCAAUUUGAUUGCUAUGCAUUCCUACCUGGACUUUAUUUAGAUAAGUCAUCUUAAUUUCAUUUUUUUUUUUGUUGUUGUUACUGUGAUUUGUGUUCGUUUUCUUUGAAGAGUUAUUCCUCAAGGCAAAAAACUAAAAUGUUAAGUAGCAAUAAU
rnacentral:sRNA from 1 species